UAGGGAAUCUUCCGCAAUGGACGCAAGGCUGACGGAGCAACGCCGCGUGAGUGAAGAAGGAUUUCGGUUCGUAAAAAUCUGUUGUUAGAGAAGAACAGCGCAUAGAGUAACUGUUAUGCGUGUGACGGUAUCUAACCAGAAAGCAACGGCUAACUACGUGCCAGCAGCCGAGGUAAUACGGAGGUGGCAAGCGUUGUCCGGAUUUAUUGGGCGUAAAGCGAGCGCAGGCGGUCCAUUAAGUCUGAUGUGAAAGCCCCCGGCUCAACCGGGGAGGGUCAUUGGAAACUGGUUGGCUUGAGUGCAGAAGAGGAGAGUGGAAUUCCAUGUGUAGCGGUGAAAUGCGUAGAUAUAUGGAGGAACACCAGUGGCGAAGGCGACUCUCUGGUCUGUAACUGACGCUGAGGCUCGAAAGCGUGGGUAGCAAACAGG
rnacentral:rRNA from 1 species